UACGAAGGGGGCUAGCGUUGCCCGGAGUGACUGGGCGUAAAGCGCACGCAGGCGGACGGCACAGUCAGGCGUGAAAGUCCUGGGCUUAACCUGGGGAGUGCGUCUCAGACUUGGGAGCUGGAGUGAGGGAGAGGGUCGUGGAAUUGCCAGUGUAGAGGUGAAAUGCGUAGAGAUUGGAAAGAACACCGGUGGCGAAGGCGGCAGACUGGCCCUUGGCUGACGCUGAGGUGCGAUGGCGUGGGGAGCAAACAGG
rnacentral:rRNA from 1 species